AUGCUCUCAUUCUCACUCAUCCCUUACUCAUCCUCUCUGCAACUCUUCCAACAACCUCAUCACUAUCUAUCUAUGAGACCUUUAAUUUGCUUAAGCUUAAACAUCUAAUCUACUUCAUAAUGCUUGUCCGAUCCAUAUCCUCCUCUCACUGUUUUUCUUUACAACCUCCGCAACCGAAACCAAUACCUCAGCCGGCCACACCAUCCCCUUUCCCACUCACCACCAUUUCAACGUUAAACAAUCCGUUUUGCGGGCACCCAGCGUCUCAAUAUUCGACACAUACUACGACUUAAACGGGUUCGUUACGGUUCUGGUACCAACCGUAUCGGUUUUUCUUAUGGAUGGUCCGAUCCUGACCAUUCCAGGUACGAACAUUUUUAUACCAGUUGAUGAAAGGGGCACGUUUUGCUUUGCAUUUGCUCCAUCCCCAACCGGACUAUCCAUCAUAGGGAACAUCAAGGCAUCUAGAUUUCUUUUGACAGCUCAAAUGAUUUUCCGAUCUAUCUUCUUACCAAAACAACCAAACUUGUCCGCAACACAACUCUAAUCUAGAAAGAGAAUAUGUCAAUCAAGGGGCGGACUCGGCCAGGAAAAGCAAUUGCUAUUUAUACUAAAAGAAAAGUUGGAGAGAAAUAUGGCAUGAAGUGGAGAUAAUCCAAUGUAACACAUGCUACGUGAGUACGUGGGAGGCAGCUGAGUGAAGAUCCAACACAUUCGGUGAAGAAGUGAAACAUGCAGCAUGCGACUAUUAUUUAAUACUAAUCAUAAUAAUAUUAGUACUUGAUAGAUUAUUGUACCAUAUGAUGGAUGAUUAAGAGAAUGAAUUGAGUGAUAUUAUAUUUGUAUUUCACUGCAUGUAUUUUAAAUUCCCUAAUGAUUAAGUCAAUAAUAUGUAAUGUCUUUUUUUUGGGUAACGUUUUGUGAUGAUUUACAUUUUUUUUCAAGUAAUAAAUUUAGAUUUACAUCUCA